AAUCAAGCGAUCAUUAGUUAAGUUGUAAAAUGGAAAAUACAGAGCAGAUUAGCAUGCCCCUGCUCAAAUAUGACAUGCACAAAUCGAGAAAGAGUAGUGCUUUUU
rnacentral:snRNA from 1 species